AACGCUGGCGGCAUGCCUAACACAUGCAAGUCGAACGGUAACAGCGGAGCUUGCUCCGGCUGACGAGUGGCGCACGGGUGAGUAACGCGUGGGAACCUGCCCUAGGGUGGGGGACAACCACUGGAAACGGUGGCUAAUACCGCAUACGCCCUCCGGGGGAAAGCUUUAGCGCCCUGGGAUGGUCCCGCGUCGGAUUAGCUUGUUGGUGAGGUAACGGCUCACCAAGGCGACGAUCCGUAGCUGGUCUGAGAGGAUGAUCAGCCACACUGGGACUGAGACACGGCCCAGACUCCUACGGGAGGCAGCAGUGGGGAAUAUUAGACAAUGGGCGCAAGCCUGAUCCAGCAAUGCCGCGUGUGUGAAGAAGGCCUUCGGGUUGUAAAGCACUUUCACCUGUGAAGAUGAUGACGGUAACAGGAGAAGAAGCCCCGGCCAACUCCGUGCCAGCAGCCGCGGUAAU
rnacentral:rRNA from 1 species